UAUAUACUCCCUCCGUCCAAAAAUACUUGUCAUCAAAAUGGAUAAAAAGGGAUGUAUCUAGAACUAAAAUACGUCUAGAUGCAUCCCUUUUUAUUCAUUUUGAUGACAAGUAUUUCCGGAUGGAGGGAGUACUAA
rnacentral:pre_miRNA from 1 species